rnacentral:rRNA from 1 species
UACGUAGGGGGCAAGCGUUGUCCGGAAUCAUUGGGCGUAAAGCGCGUGUAGGCGGCCCGGUAAGUCCGCUGUGAAAGUCGGGGGCUCAACCCUCGAAUGCCGGUGGAUACUGCCGUGACUAGAGGUCGGUAGGGGAGUGUGGAAUUCCUGGUGGAGCGGUGAAAUGCGCAGAUAUCAGGAGGAACACCCGUAGCGAAGGCGGCACUCUGGGCCGAUACUGACACUGAGGAGCGAAAGCGUGGGGAGCGAACAGG